GACGGGGGAUGCAAGUGUUAUCCGGAAUCACUGGGCGUAAAGCGUCUGCAGGUGGUUUCCUAAGUCCACUGUUAAACCUUGAGGCUCAACCUCAAAUCUGCAUUGGAAACUAGGAGACUUGAGUAUAGUAGGGGUAGAGGGAAUUUCCAGUGGAGCGGUGAAAUGCGCAGAUAUCAGGAGGAACACCGAUGGCGAAGGCAGGUCUCUGGGCAUUAACUGACGCUGAGGAGCGAAAGCAUGGGGAGCGAACAGG
rnacentral:rRNA from 1 species